rnacentral:rRNA from 1 species
AUUGAACGCUGGCGGCAUGCUUUACACAUGCAAGUCGAACGGCAGCGCGGGCUUCGGCCUGGCGGCGAGUGGCGAACGGGUGAGUAAUGCAUCGGAACGUGCCCAGUAGUGGGGGAUAGCCCGGCGAAAGCCGGAUUAAUACCGCAUACGACCUGAGGGUGAAAGCGGGGGACCGAAAGGCCUCGCGCUAUUGGAGCGGCCGGUGUCGGAUUAGCUAGUUGGUGGGGUAAAGGCUUACCAAGGCGACGAUCCGUAGCUGGUCUGAGAGGACGACCAGCCACACUGGGACUGAGACACGGCCCAGACUCCUACGGGGGGCAGCAGUGGGGAAUUUUGGACAAUGGGGGCAACCCUGAUCCAGCCAUGCCGCGUGCGGGAAGAAGGCCUUCGGGUUGUAAACCGCUUUUGUUCGGGAAGAAAUCCUCUGGGCUAAUACCCCGGGGGGAUGACGGUACCGGAAGAAUAAGCACCGGCUAACUACGUG